GUUUGUAGAAGCAGAUUGGUUCAUUUGUCAUACAGCCACUGACUUAAAUUUGUUUAGUUUGGUGCUGAAUGUAAUGAAUCCUGGUGAUGAAACUGGAAAACUUGGUUUUAAAACUCCAAGAGAUUGAACCUGGCCAACGGUUUAAGUGUUGGAAACCAUCACACCAAAAGCUGAUUGGCCAUCAGUGGUUGCCUGCUUACACGCCAGCUUACGAUGAAUAACAAACCAGCUCAUUGGUGACCAUGUUGCACUACUUCUCAAAUGUGUGUGGUGUCUAGCAGAUUGCUGUCAUUCGACAAAGACUAUGUGGAGCAUUUCCAGGUUAGUUUUCGUAUUGGGGUUUUACAUUUACAAAGUUUUAGAGCUGUGCUCGCGCAUUAGAUUGUAUGAAGUAUCAAAUUACCUUUUUUGAUUUGUGUGUGUUUUCCUUGGAAUUUUACAAACAAAUUGUUUAAGUGAAGGCUUAUUCAAUGGUGACAAAGCACAGAUCUAUCAUCUAUAGAGUCCUUUUCAUUACCCUCCACAAUCAAGCACGUCUAGCAGUUAAUACUCACUUGACGCUGGCAACGAUUUGCUUUAGUUGAUAUUUCAAGAGACAAUAAAUUAGGCUACUCAAA